rnacentral:lncRNA from 1 species
UCAACUAUCUAUCCGCUAUAUCUAUCACACAAGCUCUGUAUAAAACCUCCUCAAGUAGUGUCUUACUCCCAAAAGUAGACACAAACAAUACAGAAUCAAGUUUCUCAGGUAAUACAUUUAAUUUUGAUACAAAAACAUGUGAAAUAAAUGAAUGCGAUGCACCAAUAUCAAUCAAAACAUAAGCAAGAUUGUUACAGAUAGUGUACAUACCAUGUACCACGUCCGGGUUGGCUUCUGCAUCCUGUUGAGUGAGAUUGUAAGCCCUGCCCUGCAUAGGAGGUUUGACCGGGUUCUGGUUCAUCGGGCAUUCCUUUGCAUAAUGUUAGGCGCUACCACAUAUGCAGCAGGUGUUGUCGAGGUGAUAGUAGGGUCGAUCCCCAUGA